rnacentral:rRNA from 1 species
AUCAUGGAGAGUUUGAUCCUGGCUCAGAACGAACGCUGGCGGCGCGUCUUAAGCAUGCAAGUCGGGCGGCGAGGUGGUGGCUUGCCACCACCCUAGAGCGGCGGACUGGUGAGUAACGCGUAGGUGACGUACCCUCCGGACGGGGACAGCCCCUAGAAAUAGGGGGUAAUACCGGAUACGGCCGCGGGCGCUGAGUGCCCGCGGGGAAAGGGGCUUCGGCUCCGCCGGGGGAUCGGCCUGCGUCCCAUCAGCUAGUCGGCGGGGUAACGGCCUGCCGAGGCGACGACGGGUACCCGGCCUAAGAGGGCGGACGGGCACAUUGGGACUGAGAUACGGCCCAGACUCCUACGGGAGGCAGCAGCUAAGAAUAUUCCGCAAUGGGGGGAACCCUGACGGAGCGACGCCGCGUGGACGACGAAGGCCGGAAGGUUGUAAAGUCCUUUGGCCCGCGAGGAAUAAGCGCGCAGGUAAUGGCGCGCGGUGACUGUAGCGGGAGAACAAGCACCGGCUAAUUACGUGCCAGCAGCCGCGGUAACACGUAAGGUGCGAGCGUUGUUCGGAAUUAUUGGGCGUAAAGGGCACGCAGGCGGCGCCGCAAGCCUGGAGUGAAAUGCCGGGGCUCAACCCCGGGACUGCUCUGGGAACUGCGGCGCUGGAGUCAGCGAGGGGCAGCCGGAAUUCCAGGUGUAGGGGUGAAAUCUGUAGAUAUCUGGAAGAACACCGAUGGCGAAGGCAGGCUGCCGGCGCAUGACUGACGCUCAGGUGCGAAGGUGCGGGGAGCGAACAGGAUUAGAUACCCUGGUAGUCCGCACAGUAAACGAUGCACACUAGGUGUCUGGCCUCGGGGCUGGGUGCCGAAGCGAACGCGUUAAGUGUGCCGCCUGGGGAGUAUGCCCGCAAGGGUGAAACUCAAAGGAAUUGACGGGGGCCCGCACAAGCGGUGGAGCAUGUGGUUUAAUUCGAUGGUACGCGAGGAACCUUACCCGGGCUUGACAUACGCGGGGAUCGUCCGGAGACGGGCGAGCGCAGCAAUGCGCCCGCGAACAGGUGCUGCAUGGCUGUCGUCAGCUCGUGCCGUGAGGUGUUGGGUUAAGUCCCGCAACGAGCGCAACCCCUGCCGCCGGUUACUAACGGGCAGAGCCGAGGACUCUGGCGGGACUGCCGGCGACAAGCCGGAGGAAGGCGGGGACGACGUCAAGUCAUCAUGGCCCUUAUGUCCGGGGCGACACACGUGCUACAAUGGCGGGGACAGGGCGAUGCGAGGCCGCGAGGCGGAGCGGAGCGCUCAAAUCCCGCCGUAGUUCGGAUCGGAGUCUGAAACCCGACUCCGUGAAGCCGGAAUCGCUAGUAAUCGCGCAUCAGCACGGCGCGGUGAAUACGUUCCCGGGCCUUGUACACACCGCCCGUCACACCAUCCGAGUUGGGGAUACCCGAAGCAGGCAGGCUAACCGCGAGGGGGCCGCUUUCUAAGGUAUGCCCGGUGAGGGGGGUGAAGUCGUAACAAGGUAGUCGUACCGGAAGGUGCGGCUGGAUCACCUCCUUU